rnacentral:lncRNA from 1 species
AACCACUUUCGAGACGCAUCCGACAUCCAGAAAAAAACUCGCGACUCCGCCCCAUCUCCGUCUCCAGCGCUGUCAUCUCUGACUCCUCCCGCGCUCCCUCCCCUUCGUCCUCACGUCACCUCACCCACAGCCGCCGCCCCGGUCCCUGCAGUGCCUCCCCUCCCCUCCCCUCCCCUCCCACGGCCUCUCCAAAGACGGCGGCUGCGACGACUGGGCUCGCCAACGACCGAAUCCCAUCGGCGACAAUCCUCGCUGCCAAAACGCCGAGCACAUCGAGCCCGCCGCCCCUGUGCCAAUGCCGAGCCUCGCCACAAUCUUGCGUUUUGCCAAGCUGUUCGUGGUCGUGGAAGCCGCCCAGGCGGCGGGGUACGUGUACGCUCCUUCCCUGAUCCGGAUCGCCCGUAUCCGCGUCACCGGGCCCUUCAC